rnacentral:misc_RNA from 1 species
UGUGGGAGCGAGCCUGCUCGCGAGAGCGGUAGGUCAGUCAGCUGCUAUUUGACUGAAACACCGCCAUCGCGAGCAGGCUCGCUCCCACA